rnacentral:rRNA from 1 species
GAUGAACGCUGGCGGCGUGCCUAAUACAUGCAAGUCGAGCGAACAGAUGAGGAGCUUGCUCCUCUGACGUUAGCGGCGGACGGGUGAGUAACACGUGGAUAACCUACCUAUAAGACUGGGAUAACUUCGGGAAACCGGAGCUAAUACCGGAUAAUAUAUUGAACCGCAUGGUUCAAUAGUGAAAGACGGUUUUGCUGUCACUUAUAGAUGGAUCCGCGCCGCAUUAGCUAGUUGGUAAGGUAACGGCUUACCAAGGCAACGAUGCGUAGCCGACCUGAGAGGGCGAUAGGCCACACUGGAACUGAGACACGGUCCAGACUCCUACGGGAGGCAGCAGUAGGGAAUCUUCCGCAAUGGGCGAAAGCCUGACGGAGCAACGCCGCGUGAGUGAUGAAGGUCUUCGGAUCGUAAAACUCUGUUAUUAGGGAAGAACAAAUGUGUAAGUAACUAUGCACGUCUUGACGGUACCUAAUCAGAAAGCCACGGCUAACUACGUG